rnacentral:lncRNA from 1 species
GCCACAUCUUUCUACAACUUUUGAAAGAAGCAGGUGAGGUUUCCGAAAAAAAAACCAAGUGAAAUGAAAGGUGACGGUCAGUGUGCUAUCUUUUGACCGCACAGCAAAAAAGUGGUUGCCGGGCUAGAAGCAAGAUGGAAAGAUGAAGAAAUGGGCAGAAAAGGCAUUUGGUGCCUUGAUGAAAAAUUUCAAAAAUAAAAGGGUCCCAUGGUGAAACUAGAGCAAUUCCCAGAAGACUAAAUGUGGGAGGAAUGGGACGAGGUAGGGGAAGUCAGCAGAGACUCUAAGUUGUUUAAGAGAGCGUAUUACUUAUCUAUUGCUGUGUAACAAAUGAACGCAAAACUAAGCAGCCCGAGACAACUUAAGAAACCCACGAUUUCCGUGUGCCUGGAGUCUGGGUUGGCUCAGCAGGAUGCCUUUAGCUCAGGGUCUCUCACAAGGCUGCACUCAAGGUGUCAGCGGGCACUGUGGUCAUCUCAAGGCUUGCCUGGGGGGGUGGCUCCGCCUCCACUUUGUCCCUUCCCAACCUCAUCUGUAGUCUGCCACAGGCCUCGGUGCCCCAGUAGCUGCUAAUCUUUUGCCAUGGGGCUACUCAUAGCACGUCAGCUUGCUUCCCUCAGAGCUGGGGGUAGGGAGAAGAGGAAAAGCAAGCAAGACAGAAGUCACCCAGAAGUGCAAAAAAGGAGUUGCCAUCCCAUUACUUUUGCCAUAUUUGAUUUGUUAGAAGUGAUCCAGUAGGUCCGACCCACCUGCAAGGGGAGAGGCUUACGCAAGAGCAUGAAAACCUGAGGACAGAGACCACCAGGACCAACAAAGGCUGUGGACCACAGAGACACUCUUUAUUCAUGGAAUAAACCUGGAGCCCGAUUCUCCCAAGGCGAGCCUCCUGAAAUGAUAGAAGCUACGGAGGGAGGCCACAUGCUAGGCCACAUGUCAGCAUUAUUACUGUUCAUCAUUCAUUCAGGGCCCACAAAAGCGAGAGCAUCUCCAUACGGGUGUGGAUUUUAAAAUCAGGAAAGCAGGCCAGAUAGAAUUCAUGCUUAGGCACAGCUGCUCAGAACUGACCACCCUAAGGGGCCCACUGUUAAUAACUCAUCCUUUCUGAUGAUCCGCCCACUGCCUGGUGUGGCUGCUGCCACUGUUCAGCUCUGUCCCCUGCCCUGAGAAACAUGUGCUGCCAGAGGUUCGUCCUCACAAUAAUAACCGCUAACACUGAGUGACAGCAUGUGAUGGUCAAGUACAGAGUCUGGCACUUUAUGUUCAUCACCGCGUUUCAUCCUCACCACGACCCUGUUCUGUGGAUCCGGCUGGACGCAUCCAGAGGUGGGAGUCCCUGUGGUCUGGGCACUGAUCAGUGCCUGAAUGUUCUCAGGGACACUCCCCUUCAUUAAAGCAGACAGUUAGACAUUAACA